rnacentral:rRNA from 68 species
GCGGCGGACGGGUGAGUAACACGUGGGCAACCUGCCUGCAAGACGGGGAUAACUCCGGGAAACCGGGGCUAAUACCGGAUAAUAUCUUCCUUCGCAUGAAGGAAGGUUGAAAGGCGGCGCAAGCUGCCGCUUGCAGAUGGGCCCGCGGCGCAUUAGCUAGUUGGUGAGGUAACGGCUCACCAAGGCGACGAUGCGUAGCCGACCUGAGAGGGUGAUCGGCCACACUGGGACUGAGACACGGCCCAGACUCCUACGGGAGGCAGCAGUAGGGAAUCUUCCGCAAUGGACGAAAGUCUGACGGAGCAACGCCGCGUGAGCGAAGAAGGUCUUCGGAUCGUAAAGCUCUGUUGUCAGGGAAGAACAAGUACCGUUCGAACAGGGCGGUACCUUGACGGUACCUGACCAGAAAGCCACGGCUAACUACGUGCCAGCAGCCGCGGUAAUAC